rnacentral:rRNA from 1 species
UACGUAGGGUGCAAGCGUUGUCCGGAAUUAUUGGGCGUAAAGAGCGUGUAGGCGGCCAGGUAGGUCGGUUGUGAAAACUGGAGGCUCAACCUUCAGAGGUCGACCGAAACCAUCUGGCUAGAGUCCGGGAGAGGAGAGUGGAAUUCCUGGUGUAGCGGUGAAAUGCGCAGAUAUCAGGAAGAACACCAAUGGCGAAGGCAGCUCUCUGGGACGGUACUGACGCUGAGACGCGAAAGCGUGGGGAGCGAACAGG